rnacentral:rRNA from 1 species
GACCUGAGCUCAGGGCAU